CUUUAGAUGUAGUCUAAAUACUGUAAUUUCUGAGUUACUAACAUAGCAUUUAUCCAAUCCUACUAAGAAACUUAUAAAACAAAACAGUGUUUGUUUCUUAAAUGUUUAUUUUAUAUCGAUGACACGGAUACAUUUAUCAGUGUAUGAUUACACAAAGGAUCUUGCUAGAAACAUGCAUCGGAUCUUGUUAAUACCACCUGUGGGGAAAAACCGUGUGAAUGAUCAAGAAGGAUAUUUGACAUGUUUGUCCAUCUGUCACGUGCAUCAACCACAUUAUAUUAGUAUAUAUAUUUAUCUUUAUAUCAUAUUGGAAUCAAUCAUCUAACAAACAAACCGCUCGUUUUCGACAUAUACCUCUGUUACAACAAUGGUGAAUUGGAAAAUUGAUAAUGGCAAACUGAAUAUCCAAGGGAUUGAAGAUUUUGAAGAACAAAUUGAGUAUGCUAAAAGCUCCUUGCAGUAUAAGAAGAUCGAGAAAUCUUGUAAACGGAAUGAGAAAACUAUAGCAGAAAAAGAUAUCAUGAUCAAGAACUUGGAGGAUUUCGGAGCGAACGAAAAGUAAUACGCUUCUGGAAACCGGAAAAGG